UCUACGGGAGGCAGCAGUGGGGAAUAUUGGACAAUGGGGGGAACCCUGAUCCGGCGACGCCGCGUGAGUGAAGAAGUAUUUCGGUAUGUAAAGCUCUAUCAGCAGGGACGAAAGACAUGACGGUCCCUGACUAAGAAGCCCCGGCUAACUACGUGCCAGCAGCCGCGGUACUACGUAGGGGGCAAGCGUUAUCCGGAUUUACUGGGUGUAAAGGGAGCGUAGACGGCGAUGCAAGUCUGAAGUGAAAGGCGGGUGCCCAACCCCUGGACUGCUUUGGAAACUGUAUGGCUGGAGUGCAGGAGAGGUAAGUGGAAUUCCUAGUGUAGCGGUGAAAUGCGUAGAUAUUAGGAGGAACACCAGUGGCGAAGGCGGCUUACUGGACUGUAACUGACGUUGAGGCUCGAAAGCGUGGGGAGCAAACAGGAUUAGAUACCCCUGUAGUC
rnacentral:rRNA from 1 species